UACGUAGGGUGCGAGCGUUGUCCGGAAUUACUGGGCGUAAAGAGCUCGUAGGUGGUUUGUCGCGUUGUUCGUGAAAACUCACAACUCAAUUGUGGGCGUGCGGGCGAUACGGGCAGACUGGAGUACUGCAGGGGAGACUGGAAUUCCUGGUGUAGCGGUGGAAUGCGCAGAUAUCGAGAGGAACACCUGCGGCGAAGGCGGGUUGCUGGGCCGACACUGACGCUGAUGCGCGAAAGCCAGGGGAGCGAACGGG
rnacentral:rRNA from 1 species